UACGGAGGGUGCAAGCGUUAUCCGGAUUCACUGGGUUUAAAGGGUGCGUAGGCGGGCAGGUAAGUCAGUGGUGAAAUCUCCGAGCUUAACUUGGAAACUGCCGUCGAUACUAUCUGUCUUGAAUAUUGUGGAGGUGAGCGGAAUAUGUCAUGUAGCGGUGAAAUGCUUAGAUAUGACAUAGAACACCAAUUGCGAAGGCAGCUCGCUACACAUAUAUUGACUCUGAGGCACGAAAGCGUGGGGAUCAAACAGG
rnacentral:rRNA from 1 species